rnacentral:rRNA from 1 species
CGACCCCAGGUCAGGCGGGACUACCCGCUGAAUUUAA